AACUGAUACUACCUGCGGGAACCUGCGGAGGGAUCAUUACCGAGUUUACAACUCCCAAACCCCAUGUGAACAUACCUGUUUCGUUCCCUCGGCGGUGUCCGGCAACGGCCCGCCAGAGGACCCAACAAACUCUUUUGAAUUUUUCAGUAUCUUCUGAGUGAAAAAAACAAUAAAUCAAAACUUUUAGCAAUGGAUCUCU
rnacentral:misc_RNA from 1 species